AGAGUUUGAUCCUGGCUCAGGAUUAACGCUAGCGGCAGGCCUAAUACAUGCAAGUCGAACGGGAUCAGUUGUAGCAAUAUGGCUGUGAGAGUGGCGCACGGGUGAGUAACACGUAUGCAACCUACCUCUAACUGGGGAAUAGCCUUCCGAAAGGAAGAUUAAUACCGCAUAAUAGUGCGAAGGGGCAUCCCUUUGUAAUCAAACUUUUAAGGGUUAGAGAUGGGCAUGCGUCCGAUUAGUUUGUUGGUGAGGUAACGGCUCACCAAGACUACAAUCGGUAGGGGGUCUGAGAGGAUGAUCCCCCACACUGGUACUGAGACACGGACCAGACUCCUACGGGAGGCAGCAGUAAGGAAUAUUGGACAAUGGGCGCAAGCCUGAUCCAGCCAUGCCGCGUGCAGGAUGACUGCCCUAUGGGUUGUAAACUGCUUUUAUACGGAAAGAAACCCCCCGAUGCGUCGGGGGUUGACGGUACCAUACGAAUAAGGAUCGGCUAACUCCGUGCCAGCAGCCGCGGUAAUACGGAGGACCCAAGCGUUAUCCGGAUUUAUUGGGUUUAAAGGGUGCGUAGGCGGAUUCAUAAGUCCGUGGUGAAAUCCUGCAGCUUAACUGCAGAACUGCCAUUGAAACUGAUGAUCUUGAGUAUGGUUGAGGUAGAUGGAAUGUAUCAUGUAGCGGUGAAAUGCUUAGAUAUGAUACAGAACACCAAUUGCGAAGGCAGUCUACUAAGCCAUUACUGACGCUAAGGCACGAAAGCGUGGGGAGCGAACAGGAUUAGAUACCCUGGUAGUCCACGCCGUAAACGAUGAUUACUCGAUGUUGGCGAUAUACUGUCAGCGUCCAAGCGAAAGCGUUAAGUAAUCCACCUGGGGAGUACGUCGGCAACGAUGAAACUCAAAGGAAUUGACGGGGGCCCGCACAAGCGGAGGAGCAUGUGGUUUAAUUCGAUGAUACGCGAGGAACCUUACCUGGGCUUAAAUGUUAGUGACCGCUACCGAAAGGUAGCCAUCAGCAAUGACACGAAGCAAGGUGCUGCAUGGCUGUCGUCAGCUCGUGCCGUGAGGUGUUGGGUUAAGUCCCGCAACGAGCGCAACCCUUAUCAUUAGUUGCCAUCAGGUUAAGCUGGGCACUCUAAUGAGACUGCCCGCGCAAGCGGUGAGGAAGGUGGGGACGACGUCAAGUCAUCAUGGCCCUUAUGUCCGGGGCUACACACGUGAUACAAUGGCAGAUACAAUGGGUCGCUACAUGGCAACAUGAUGCUAAUCUCAAAAGUCUGUCUCAGUUCGGAUUGAGGUCUGCAACUCGACCUCAUGAAGUCGGAUUCGCUAGUAAUCGGAAAUCAGCAAUGUUCCGGUGAAUACGUUCCCGGGCCUUGUACACACCGCCCGUCAAGCCAUGGAAGUUGGGGGUACCUGAAGUCGAUAACCGCAAGGAGUCGCCUAGGGUAAAACCGAUAACUGGGGCUAAGUCGUAACAAGGUAACC
rnacentral:rRNA from 1 species